rnacentral:rRNA from 1 species
UUAAGCGACUAAGCGUACACGGUGGAUGCCCUGGCAGUCAGAGGCGAUGAAGGACGUGCUAAUCUGCGAAAAGCGUCGGUAAGGUGAUAUGAACCGUUAUAACCGGCGAUGUCCGAAUGGGGAAACCCAGUGUGAUUCGUCACACUAUCGUUAACUGAAUACAUAGGUUAACGAGGCGAACCGGGGGAACUGAAACAUCUAAGUACCCCGAGGAAAAGAAAUCAACCGAGAUUCCCCCAGUAGCGGCGAGCGAACGGGGAGCAGCCCAGAGUCUGAAUCAGCUUGUGUGUUAGUGGAACGGUCUGGAAAGUCCGACGGUACAGGGUGAUAGUCCCGUACACCAAAAUGCACAGGCUGUGAACUCGAAGAGUAGGGCGGGACACGUGGUAUCCUGUCUGAAUAUGGGGGACCAUCCUCCAAGGCUAAAUACUCCUGACUGACCGAUAGUGAACCAGUACCGUGAGGGAAAGGCGAAAAGAACCCCGGCGAGGGGAGUGAAAAAGAACCUGAAACCGUGUACGUACAAGCAGUGGGAGCACCUUCGGGUGUGACUGCGUACCUUUUGUAUAAUGGGUCAGCGACUUAUAUUCUGUAGCAAGGUUAACCGUAUAGGGGAGCCGCAGGGAAACCGAGUCUUAACUGGGCGUUAAGUUGCAGGGUAUAGACCCGAAACCCGGUGAUCUAGCCAUGGGCAGGUUGAAGGUUGGGUAACACUAACUGGAGGACCGAACCGACUAAUGUUGAAAAAUUAGCGGAUGACUUGUGGCUGGGGGUGAAAGGCCAAUCAAACCGGGAGAUAGCUGGUUCUCCCCGAAAGCUAUUUAGGUAGCGCCUCGUGAACUCAUCUUCGGGGGUAGAGCACUGUUUCGGCUAGGGGGUCAUCCCGACUUACCAACCCGAUGCAAACUACGAAUACCGAAGAAUGUUAUCACGGGAGACACACGGCGGGUGCUAACGUCCGUCGUGAAGAGGGAAACAACCCAGACCGCCAGCUAAGGUCCCAAAGUCAUGGUUAAGUGGGAAACGAUGUGGGAAGGCACAGACAGCCAGGAUGUUGGCUUAGAAGCAGCCAUCAUUUAAAGAAAGCGUAAUAGCUCACUGGUCGAGUCGGCCUGCGCGGAAGAUGUAACGGGGCUAAACCAUGCACCGAAGCUGCGGCAGCGACACUAUGUGUUGUUGGGUAGGGGAGCGUUCUGUAAGCCUGCGAAGGUGUGCUGUGAGGCAUGCUGGAGGUAUCAGAAGUGCGAAUGCUGACAUAAGUAACGAUAAAGCGGGUGAAAAGCCCGCUCGCCGGAAGACCAAGGGUUCCUGUCCAACGUUAAUCGGGGCAGGGUGAGUCGACCCCUAAGGCGAGGCCGAAAGGCGUAGUCGAUGGGAAACAGGUUAAUAUUCCUGUACUUGGUGUUACUGCGAAGGGGGGACGGAGAAGGCUAUGUUAGCCGGGCGACGGUUGUCCCGGUUUAAGCAUGUAGGCUGGUUGUCCAGGCAAAUCCGGAUAAUCAAGGCUGAGGUGUGAUGACGAGGCACUACGGUGCUGAAGUAACAAAUGCCCUGCUUCCAGGAAAAGCCUCUAAGCAUCAGGUAACAUCAAAUCGUACCCCAAACCGACACAGGUGGUCAGGUAGAGAAUACCAAGGCGCUUGAGAGAACUCGGGUGAAGGAACUAGGCAAAAUGGUGCCGUAACUUCGGGAGAAGGCACGCUGGUGUGUAGGUGAAGUCCCUGCGGAUGGAGCUGAGACCAGUCGAAGAUACCAGCUGGCUGCAACUGUUUAUUAAAAACACAGCACUGUGCAAACACGAAAGUGGACGUAUACGGUGUGACGCCUGCCCGGUGCCGGAAGGUUAAUUGAUGGGGUUAUCCGUAAGGAGAAGCUCUUGAUCGAAGCCCCGGUAAACGGCGGCCGUAACUAUAACGGUCCUAAGGUAGCGAAAUUCCUUGUCGGGUAAGUUCCGACCUGCACGAAUGGCGUAAUGAUGGCCAGGCUGUCUCCACCCGAGACUCAGUGAAAUUGAACUCGCUGUGAAGAUGCAGUGUACCCGCGGCAAGACGGAAAGACCCCGUGAACCUUUACUAUAGCUUGACACUGAACAUUGAGCCUUGAUGUGUAGGAUAGGUGGGAGGCUUUGAAGCGUGGACGCCAGUCUGCGUGGAGCCAACCUUGAAAUACCACCCUUUAAUGUUUGAUGUUCUAACGUUGGCCCCUUACCGGGGUUGCGGACAGUGUCUGGUGGGUAGUUUGACUGGGGCGGUCUCCUCCCAAAGCGUAACGGAGGAGCACGAAGGUUAGCUAAUCCUGGUCGGACAUCAGGAGGUUAGUGCAAUGGCAUAAGCUAGCUUGACUGCGAGCGUGACGGCGCGAGCAGGUGCGAAAGCAGGUCAUAGUGAUCCGGUGGUUCUGAAUGGAAGGGCCAUCGCUCAACGGAUAAAAGGUACUCCGGGGAUAACAGGCUGAUACCGCCCAAGAGUUCAUAUCGACGGCGGUGUUUGGCACCUCGAUGUCGGCUCAUCACAUCCUGGGGCUGAAGUAGGUCCCAAGGGUAUGGCUGUUCGCCAUUUAAAGUGGUACGCGAGCUGGGUUUAGAACGUCGUGAGACAGUUCGGUCCCUAUCUGCCGUGGGCGCUGGAGAAUUGAGGGGGGCUGCUCCUAGUACGAGAGGACCGGAGUGGACGCAUCACUGGUGUUCGGGUUGUCAUGCCAAUGGCACUGCCCGGUAGCUAAAUGCGGAAGAGAUAAGUGCUGAAAGCAUCUAAGCACGAAACUUGCCCCGAGAUGAGUUCUCCCUGAGACUUUAAGUCUCCUGAAGGAACGUUAAAGACGAUGACGUUGAUAGGCCGGGUGUGUAAGCGCAGCGAUGCGUUGAGCUAACCGGUACUAAUGAACCGUGAGGCUUAACCUU